rnacentral:rRNA from 1 species
GUGAAUCAUCGAAUCUUUGAACGCACCUUGCACCUUCCAGUACUCUGGAAGGUAUGCCCGGUUGAGUAUUAUGAUCACCUCAAACCUAUGAUUUUCUUAUUGCAAAGACCAAUGCUCUGACGAAAGCACUCAUUGGGGUGCUAGUAGUUGCUGCUUGGUUUGGAAGAUCUUAGGUCUUGGACUUGAGCACUGUUGGUUCCCUCUGGAUCAACUUGCUUGAAAUGUAUUAGCUGGCGACCUGCCUUCAAUGGUUACCACUCGGCGUAGUAAGUCUUAUUCGUCGAGGACACCUUGUACCUUCAUCGGAACAGGUGGCCAUUGUGCUGUGUCUUGAUAGCCGCUUCUAAUCGUCUCUGGACAACAUAACGAACUCUUUAAUCUCAACUCGGGUAGGACUACCCGCUGAACUUAAGCAUAUCAAUAAGCGGAGGAAAAGA